rnacentral:ncRNA from 1 species
AAGGUUUGGUCCUAGCCUUGAAAUCAGUUUUUAUUUAAUAUACACAUGCAAGUCUCCGCACCCCUGUGAAAACGCCCUUAAUCCCCUCAUGGGAAUAGGAGCUGGUAUCAGGCUCAACUCCCGCCCAAGACACCUAGCAUUGCCACACCCACAAGGGACCUCAGCAGUGAUUAACAUUGAGCAUAAGCGUCAGCUUGACUCAGUUAAACUUUAUAGAGCCGGCCAAUCUGGUGCCAGCCGCCGCGGUUAUACCAGAAGCUCAAAUUGAUUUCUAUCGGCGUAAAGCGUGAUUAAAGUUAAACAUUUAUUGGAGCCGAAUUAAAACUAAGCUGUGACACGCCUGUUACUUAAGAAGCCCUAAAACGAAAGUAACUCCAACACUCUCCACUUGAAUUCACGACAUCUGAGGCACAAACUGGGAUUAGAUACCCCACUAUGCUCAGUCGUAAACCUUUACCUACACCCUCUCUCGCCUGGGAACUACGAGCCAAGCUUAAAACCCAAAGGACUUGACGGUACCCCAUAUCCACCUAGAGGAGCCUGUCCUGUAAUCGAUAACCCACGUUCAACCUCACCAUUUUUAGCCUACUCAGCCUGUAUACCUCCGUCGUCAGCUUACCACGUGAGCGUUAGUGAGCUUAAUGUAAUCCCACCACACGUCAGGUCAAGGUGCAACUUAUGAAAUGGGAAGAGAUGGGCUACACUCUCUAAUUUAGAGUAUACGAAAGACUACCAAUGAAAAUUUGUCAGAAGGCGGAUUUAGCAGUAAACAGAAAUCAAUACAUUCCGUUUAAUUCGGCACUGGGGUGUGUACACACCGCCCGUCACCCUCCUCUAAUGCUAACCAUAGUUUUUAACCAACUUAAGCUACCCAGAAGAGGUAAGUCGUAACAUGGUAAGUAUACCGGAAGGUGUGCUUGGAUA